rnacentral:rRNA from 1 species
AAUAGAUACCCGGGUAGUCCACGCCGUAAACGUUGGAUACUAGGUGUGGCGUCCCGAUCAACGGAUGCCGUGCCGAAGCUAACGCAUUAAGUAUCCCGCCUGGGGAGUACGGCCGCAAGGCUAAAACUCAAAGGAAUUGACGGGUCCCCGCACAAGCGGCGGAGCAUGCGGCUUAAUUCGAUGCAACCCGAAGAACCUUACCUGGGUUUGAAAUCAUGGGAAAAGCUGUAGAAAUACAGUGUCCGUAAGGGCCCAUGACAGGUGGUGCAUGGCUGUCGUCAGCUCGUGUCGUGAGAUGUUGGGUUAAGUCCCGCAACGAGCGCAACCCUUGUCCUAUGUUGCCAGCGGUUCGGCCGGGGAACUCGAUAGGAGACUGCCGGGGAUAACUCGGAGGAAGGUGGGGACGACGUCAAGUCAGUCAUGCCCCUUAUAUCCAGGGCUGCACGCAUGCUACAAUGGUCGGUACAACGGGCAGCGACCCCGCGAGGGGUGAGCGAAUCCCACAAAGCCGGCCUCAGUUCGGAUUGGAGUCUGCAACUCGAUCC